rnacentral:snoRNA from 1 species
ACCAUCCAGACCCCUUGCCCUCAGAUCUAAAUAAUAGUCUGAGAGGCUGAAAAACGGGAGUUGAAGUAAAACUGAAAUGGACGGAGAGUCUUUAGAGACAUAGAAGUUCAUUUCAUACAUAU